GCCUGGGUGGCUCAGUCGGUUGGGCAUCUGACUUCAGCUCAGGUCAUGAUCUCACUGUUUGUGGGUUCAAGCCCCGUGUUGGGCU
rnacentral:tRNA from 1 species